rnacentral:tRNA from 1 species
GCGGACGUGAUGGAACUGGUAGACAUCACGGUCUCAGAAGCCGUGGGGCGUAAGCCCGUGAGAGUUCAAAUCUCUCCGUCCGCA